UGGACAACAUGUCAGCUCCCAGUGAUGGACUUGGCAGACAAAGUUUACAGCGAAGUUUGCAACUUUAAUAAUCUAGGAGGAGUAUUUUGGGCUAUCCCAGCAUUAUGCAUCUUCAUAUUACAAACUAUUUAAGAUAUCUGAAUGCACUAAAGACCAAAUUAGCAUUUCCCAAAAGAAUAGUUACUGCCAAUGCAAGAAUCUGCCAAUCAUGACAAUAAAUUACCAGACAAUAAUCAUAACUUAGUGAAUAAACAUGAUGAAAACUAUGGUGUAGAAUUUCCAACAGGAGUCCUUGUUUUAUAUAAGACGAGGAGUGGUUUAUUUUCCUAUGGUUGUUAUAUCAUCUCGUCUUAGACAUGUUAGAAUAUGCUUGAAGUACAGGGACUUUCAUGGAAUUCAUUGACAUCAUAGUCAAGCAAGAUGUCAACAUCCCGUCCAACGUCUUCCAGCAAAGCCAAUUUGAAAGCUGACCAAGGAUCUUCAUCAUUUCGUGACAGGGUGUAUACAGGAUGAGUCAUUCCACUAGGAUCAGGACUAUUGUCAUGAUAAUAGAUGCAGGCAAUGCUGAUGAUUUUUGUGAAUGUGACAAUAAAUAGCCAGGUCAAACUAAAUACAUGUAAAGAACAAGAUACUGAUCUAGACUCACAGCUAACUGAACUUUUACAGCAGUCAACAUCAGAUUGGAAGACUGGUAAUGCCUCUGACAGAAACAAUUUCAACCAACCAAACAAGUAACAGAAACUUUG